rnacentral:rRNA from 1 species
CUCCUACGGGAGGCAGCAGUGGGGAAUUUUGGACAAUGGGCGCAACCCUGAUCCAGCCAUGCCGCGUGUCUGAAGAAGGCCUUCGGGUUGUAAAGCACUUUUGAUUAAGGAACAAGUCCUGCAGGUUAAGAGCUGGUAGGGAUGAGAGUACCUAAAGAAUAAGCACCGGCUAAUUACGUGCCAGCAGCCGCGGUAAUACGUAGGGUGCAAGCGUUAAUCGGAAUUACUGGGCGUAAAGGGUGCGCAGGCGGUAUUGUAAGCCAGAUGUGAAAUCCCCGGGCUCAACCUGGGAACUGCGUUUGGAACUGCAAUGCUAGAGUGUGUCAGAGGGGGGUGGAAUUCCACGUGUAGCAGUGAAAUGCGUAGAGAUGUGGAGGAACACCGAUGGCGAAGGCAGCCCCCUGGGAUAACACUGACGCUCAGGCAUGAAAGCGUGGGGAGCAAACAGGAUUAGAUACCCUGGUAGUCCGCGCCGUAAACGAUAUCAACUAGCCGUUGGGGACCUCGGUUCCUUACGUGGCGUAGCAAACACGCGAA